CUGAACGUAAUUUCCUAAAAGUGGCAUCAGGAUGAAUCUGAGAUGAAAAGCAGCCAGUUUCAGGUGACCAAACGUCACCAUACCAAAACCAAACCGAACACUACGGGUCAGUAAUGUCGCACAUGUGGCAGCAGUGAGGAUUUUUGGCUGGUGUGUCUGCAGAUGACAGAGCGAUUACUGUUCUCAUCCUCAGAUCUUCUUUAUUAUCAUUCAUGAAUUGUUGUCUCUGCAGGUCACAGAGAAAGGACUGAAGGAAGCACCGAGGUUCUGUGACGAGCAGCUCUCUCCGUGUCGGACACUUUCUGGUCUCCGCGUUGAUCGCACCUUUUAAAGCGCACACACUGACCACUGAUGGCAGCAGUUUCUCUGCUUUUCCAUCCUGUUCGUCCGCCUGCUUCAGCCCUUCAGCCAUGUUCUCAUUCACAAACUCUUCUCUGAUGUUCGUGUGUCGUUCAUGUAAAACGUGCAUGUCAUGUGUUCACUGUACAGAUGCUGCUGCUGACCUUACAUAACAUUGCCCUCAUCCCGGGCUCUGUUAAAGCGUCAGAUCCAGUGCUCGCGUUCAGCUGCUGAUGCCCAGCCCGCCGCUGCAUGCAUGACAUGCGUUCAACACCACCAGCAUGCCUAACAUGACACGAUUCCCCGUCUUUUCGUGCUCGUGUAGUUUUAUUUUUAGCUCCCCAGGAACUGAUAUGAAGCCGGCUUUUAGUGCUGAGCGUCUCCACUGAACACGAGAGUUUAGCAUAAAGACAUAAACGAGAUAUUUAAUUAGUUAUGUUUUUCUGUUUAAGCUGAAUAUUUUAGGGAGCGCAGAUGUCGGACAGGGAUGAAGUAAAGAAAAAGUCUGGAGAAUCACAACAUCAGAAGAUGAUUGAGAGUUUUUCUUUAUAAUUUGCACUUUGUGUUCACAGUUUUGUGUCAGUAAAUCGAUCGAGCAUCAACAUCAAAGCACGAAAAGAAGAAAUGAGUCCAUGUUUACACGUGCGGGCUUAGAGCCACCGCUGCGAUCAUUGCUUUCUUAUGUAAUCAGGAUUAUGACCAACACUUCAAAUGUUCUACCUUUAUAAUA